rnacentral:lncRNA from 10 species
GAGGGGUUAGAACAGGGCCAUGAUCUUCUCCCCAUCAAGCUAAAUGUGUUUGGGCAAGUCUCGUAAUCCCUCCAAACCUGUUUCCAAAUCUGUUCAUGGUGAUGGUUAAUCUCAAGGCACAUAUAAAAUGCUCAGAAAUGAAAGCUAUGCCUUUCUGGAACCCAGGCACCAGGCAUUCAGGUGUGAACAAAGCUAUCCAUGCAGUCCGGGAGGGGAGCCAGAGAGAAGCAAGCAUGUGCGACCAGCAUUAAAGGGGCAGCUGCAGUCAGUCCUCUCUGGAGCCCUGUCCUUGUUCUUCCCAACACAGCCUUGUGCGUAUGCUGAUGCUGCAUGAAAUCCCUGCUUCUUCAUCGUUCGUCACAAGAGCCCAUGAUGCCUUGUCAGAUGACACCUCUGAUCCCAGGAGGAUCCAUGCCGUGGAGACAAACAACUCAUUAUUUGCCUUGAUGACCUGUCAUCUCAUAGACACCUCCCUGGAUGGAUGGAGCACUGGAAUUUGGGCUACCAGAGAGUUCCGCCUCGGUUAGCAGAAGUAAUUUGCCCGUGUCCUUAUGCAACAUGCUGACCUGGUCGGUCAUUUAAAUGAAAGGGCACGGCAGCCAUGCAAAACUCUAUCUCCCUAAUGCUUUUCUUCCCAUUGCUUUCUUCUUCUUGAAAUAUAAAAACGACCCUGUUGUAUAACUGCAUUCCAUUGCACUGCAUUAACUAAACCAAUUCUAAGUUCUUUUGUGGAAACAUGGUGAUCACUUCUCCGCUUGCAUGCACUAACAGCCCGCAUUUGAAGCCUCUCCCCGCCGUGUGCAGCCCUGCCACCCUCCACCGCACCCGACAUGCAUUAUCCAGAGUGAUCAUUCUAAAAAGUAUAUUGGACUAAGUUACUUAAAACCUGCUUAAAACACUUUAAUGUUUCCCCUUCCCUAAGAUAAAGUCUAAACCCCUUAGCAUGAUAUUCAAGGGUCUUCAUUCAUCUCCAUCUGACAGCUUCUCUACUCCUAUUUCUUUUAUUAUUGGUUUUUAUUUUUUAGAGACAGGGUCUUGCACUGUCACCCAGGCUGGUGUGCAGCGGAGUGAUCAGAGUUCACUGCAGCCUCUACCUCCUGGACUCAGGUGAUCCUCCCACCUCAGCCUCCUGAGUAUCUGAGACAGGCGCAUGCCACCACACCCAGCUAAUUUUUGUAUUACAGUGACAGGGUCUUGCUAUGUUGCCCAGGCUACUCUCCAACUCCUGGAUUCAAGCAAUCCUCUUGUCUCAGCCUCCCAAAUUGUUGAGAUUACAGGCAUGAAUCAUUGUGCCUGGCUCUACUCCCAUUUCUAAGCCCUCUCCCACACCCAGCAGUCCUUCCAGACAAACCCAGCUGUCUGCAGCUCCUCCCAGUCUACAUCAUAAUCCCCUGGAAUGCUUUUCUGCCUUAGUCUGUUCAGGCUGCUGUAACAAAACACAUAAACUGCGCGUAAAAACAACAGACUUUAUUUCUCUCAGUUCCAGAGGUUGGGAAGUCCAAGAUCAAGGUGCCAGCAUAUUCGGUGUCUGGUGACGGUCAGCUUCCUGGAUUACAGGCACUGCCUUCUCACUGUGUCCUCACAGUGGAAGGGUCUAGAGAUUUUUGCCUUGCCUGGCUUGCCCUAAUCCCAUUCAUGACUUAAUCACCUCCCAAAGGCUCCACCCCACCUCAGCCUAUCACUUUGGAGAUCAAGAUUUCAACAUAUGAAUUCUAGGGGGACGCUAACAUUCAAACCACAGCACUUUUCCUCCUCUUGUCUAGACCUGUGUUUCUUAACCCCAGCACUGCGAACAUUUGGGGCUGGAUAACUCUGCAUUGGAGGGGGCUGUCCUGCACACACUGUAGGUUAUUUACAAGCAUCCCUGUCCUCCACCUACUAGAUGCCAGUAGCAACUCCACCUUAUCCCCAGUUUGGACAACAGAAAAACCUAGAUAUUGCCGGCCAGGCGCGGUGGCUCACGCCUGUAAUCCCAGCACUUUGGGAGGCCGAGGCGGGCAGAUCACGAGGUCAGGAGAUAGAGAUCAUCCUGGCUAACAUGGUGAAACCCUGUCUCUACUAUAAAAAACACAAAAAAAAUUACCCGGGCAUGGCAGCAGGCGCCUGUAGUCUCAGCUACUAGGGUGGCUGAGGCAGGACAA